AACGAACGCUGGCGGCAGGCUUAACACAUGCAAGUCGAACGCCACCUUCGGGUGGAGUGGCAGACGGGUGAGUAACGCGUGGGAACGUACCUAUUGGUUCGGAAUAUUCUCGGGAAACUGAGAGUAAUACCGUAUGUGCCCCUCGGGGGAAAGAUUUAUCGCCUUUGGAUCGGCCCGCGUUGGAUUAGGUAGUUGGUGGGGUAAUGGCCUACCAAGCCGACGAUCCAUAGCUGGUUUGAGAGGAUGAUCAGCAACACUGGGACUGAGACACGGCCCAGACUCCUACGGGAGGCAGCAGUGGGGAAUAUUGGACAAUGGGGGCAACCCUGAUCCAGCCAUGCCGCGUGAGUGAUGAAGGCCUUCGGUUGUAAAGCUCUUUUGGUCGGGGACGGAUGAUGACGGUACCCGCAGAAUAAGCCCCGGCUAACUUCGUGCCAGCAG
rnacentral:rRNA from 1 species